CAGGGAAGAGGAACCAUUGGCUGUGGCGUCGGGAGCCACCCCGCGGAGGCUGGCUCGCUGGGUUUAGGCGCUUUGCCUUAAGGUAGUCCGGGCGCAGUUCUGCCAGACACCUCUCGGCGCUACCGAAAUCGUGGCGACUUGCAAAGCAGAAGAAUGGGACUUGUGCGGUCGCGAGGAUAUAUGCCAAUUUGAGGUAUAUCUGGGUCAAAGGGUAUACACCAUUUAGUGACAGAGGUGAUUUUUAAGGAGAAUUUUCUGCCUAUUGUCAAAGAAGAGUUCAUACUUUAGUUUUUCUACCUGAAGACAUGGCUAACUGAUAGGCAUCUCACAGUCAAGAGAUAUACUGGUUGUGAGUGUUUGCAUCUUCUAACAUGCCAAAGCACAAGUCAGUAGUAACAACCAAGAAGUCCAGUUUGUAGAUGGAAGGAUGAGUCUUGCUGUCUAUCAGUAAGUCCUCUACUGGCAAAUGCAACUGGUUUCUAGUGACCAUCACUCUCUUGAUAUAGGACUGCUGUCAAGAUCUCCAGGUUGACAUGGAAGACAAAAGACUUCUUUGGAUCUAUACAACCACACAAUGGUGCUUACAGGGGGCAGUUAACUAACUUGAUAACUUGGACAGAUUUGUCCAUCUAUCAAUCACCAAAUGGCUUAAAGUAUUUUAGGAAAAUUUGAUCUCAUACUACUACAAAAUUAUAUUAUGGACAAUAUAAAACGCACAAAAUAGACAUUUUAAAAGACAAGAUAAAGAUGAAAUAAAUGUGAUUUUUAAAUAAUUUAAUUUGUUAAUGAUACAAAAUCCUUUUUUUGUUCUAAAAUAAUGUGACAAAAAUAUUUUCUUGAGAACAAUGGAGUGGGAUUAAGUAUGCUUUAUUACUUUAGAAAAUCUUGGUUCAACACUUCAUGAUAAUGAUUCAAAGCAUUGGUUUUAAGUUGUGUUUACUUCGGUAUUUGAUUUUAAUAGCUGCCAUAGCUGAAAAAGAUACCUCACAAAAGUAUAUCCAUCCAAAUGGAAGAAUUCUAUCAUUGGCUACAUUUACAUAAUAGUUAUUUUUCAAACCUAUCCACCAGUUAUGCAAAGGUUUUUAGUAAAAAUUGAGCCAGUUAAAUUCUAUCUUGAGAUGUUGUUUUGCUGUAUCCUGAUAUACAACUGAUUUCAGUUGUUUUUAACUUGAAAACUAAUCAGAAAGUGUUACAUUUUUACAUUUCUAAUUAGCAACUGGAGUCAAAAUUUACUGAAACUCUUUAUUUGGAAUAUUCUUAAAUAGUUUAGAAAAUUCUCUUUCCAACUUUUUGGGGUAUAAGAUGAGAUUUCUUAGGAGAUAGUUACAUUGUUUUGGGCAACAGUUAACAAUAAUAAUAGAAACAUUUUCAAACAUAGAGCAUUUUCAAAAUGUUCUAUAUUUAGAAUGACUUUCUUUGAAAAAGUAGUGACUUUCUCACUCAUUCUUAAAAUGUCACCUUUACCAUGAAGUGACAAAUUGAUUUCUAUAAUUUAUUAAUCUAUAUCCAUUUAAAUAAACAUUUUUUUAAACUUCUGAGUAGCAUAUUAGUCAAUAAACAUUUGUUAAGUGCCUUGUCAUCACAGAAAAGGUCAUCAAAUUUGUCAUUUUGUAAAAAAAAAAAGUAUAUAACAUCUUUAAAGGUGACAGUUCUUUAAAGUACUUUGCCAAGUGAUAAAUAUGUGCUUAUAUAUACAUUUUUGUAUAUAUAAAUUAUAUAUACAUAUAUUAGAUAUAUAAAUUAUAUAUAUAUAUUCCUAGCUACUGCCUAUCUCAUUGGGAAGUAUUGUAAAUAUUUUACUAUUUAAAGGGGCUGCUUUAAUACAAAUUAACCAUAUUGGGGACAUCCAUUACUUCUGUAAUAGCUUGCUUAUAAAUGAUGCCAUGAAUGAAUUUCACAUAUGAUGCUCUCUCUGCUAGGAUCCUUUAUUUAUUCCACUCAAAUCAACCACUCCAUCAGUGACUGUGGUUAUAUAGUUUUCUUGUAUAACAUUGUUUAUGUUAGAGAAGUAACGUACUGUUAAGAAUAUCUCUUUUCUAUUAUAUUUCUCCCUUAGUGGCUUCCCCCCAAAAGGAGUUCUUCAUGUAUUUUAUAGUUGAAACAAUAUAGCAGAUGCCAAAAACCUCAGACAUACUAGAAACAUCUGUACUUUUAUCCAGCUUUAUAAUAAACCUCACACGCUGUAAUUUGAAUACUUGCUUCUUCAAAUCUUUGACAUUGUUUUCCGUGUGUUUGCCAACAGUAUUGGCUAACAAAGGAACACAUUGUAAUUUCUCACCGUAUUGUUUUCCUUAUAUUAUUUCAGCCAUUUUUACCAUAGCAUGAAGAACAAGUGUUUCUCCAAUGGUGUGGCUUUCUGUCUUUCAUUGUUAUGUAAGGAACCCUCCAAAGAAGCUUCUAAAUAUUUAUCGUUGAGGUUAAGAAAAUUUUGUAAAGACUAGAUUAUUAUAUGGUUUUAAAUAUUGCUAGGAAUUUUGUAGACGUUUGUCUUUUUGCAAUGCAUGCUUGGUUUUCAAAAUGUUUUGCUAAUUUUUAUGUCUUCCUACUAUGACUAGCUAGUAUCCCAAGGAUUAAUAUACACUUAAGGUGAAGUUCAUCAUUAAUGAUAGUGGAUGUAAAUCCGUGUUUCAAAUAGUCUUGAUAAUUUUUACUUGCCAGACCCAAUUCAAUCAACAUUAUUUUUUCUUUGUAGUACAUCUGUCAAGGAGUUGCUACUUGGGGUAAAAAUGUCAGCCUUGCUGUUGUUUGAUCAUGCUUAUGUAUUAUCUUCAAUUUGUGGUUUCUUUUCAGAAAUCUUUUAAGGCCAUUUAUCCACUAGUUUAGUCCAAAUGAUAUAAUCUGUAAAUCCACUUAACCUGACAAAUGUAAAUUGAAAAAAUUCACAAUAUACUAAAAUAAAGUUGAGUGAAAUGACCAAAA